rnacentral:rRNA from 1 species
UACGGAGGGUGCAAGCGUUAUCCGGAUUCACUGGGUUUAAAGGGUGCGUAGGGGGGAAUGUAAGUCAGUGGUGAAAUCUCCGUGCUUAACAUGGAAACUGCCAUUGAUACUAUGUUUCUUGAAUUUUCCGGAGGUAAGCGGAAUAUGUCAUGUAGCGGUGAAAUGCUUAGAUAUGACAUAGAACACCAAUUGCGAAGGCAGCUUACUACAGGGAUAUUGACACUGAGGCACGAAAGCGUGGGGAUCAAACAGG